AUAUAGAGAUUUUCGGAUUUUGUUCACCGGAUAGUAGUUACAUAGCCAAUUGUGGAACUUUCUUGCUAAAAUUUUUCAAAUUAUAAUCUUUAGGGAUUAUAUAUUUGUUUAAUUAUAACGAUUAUCAAUUAACAAUCAAUUCAGAACUGGCACGGACUUGGGGAAUCCGACUGUCUAAUUAAAACAAAGCAUUGUGAUGGCCCUAGCGGGUGUUGACACAAUGUGAUUUCUGCCCAGUGCUCUGAAUGUCAAAGUGAAGAAAUUCAAGUAAGCGCGGGUAAACGGCGGGAGUAACUAUGACUCUCUUAAGGUAGCCAAAUGCCUCGUCAUCUAAUUAGUGACGCGCAUGAAUGGAUUAACGAGAUUCCUUCUGUCCCUAUCUACUAUCUAGCGAAACCACAGCCAAGGGAACGGGCUUGGAAUAAUUAGCGGGGAAAGAAGACCCUAUUGAGCUUGACUCUAAUCUGGCAGUGUAAGGAGACAUAAGAGGUGUAGAAUAAGUGGGAGAUAUAUAAAAAUUUAUUUUUAUAUAUCGCCAAUGAAAUACCACUACUCUUAUUGUUUCCUUACUUACUUGAUUAAAUGGAACGUGUAUCAUUGCUUAGCCAUAUUAAGGAUCUAUUUUCAAUAGAUCUUAUGGUAUUGGGUCUUGAUGCAAGCUUCUUGAUCAAAGUAUCACGAGUUUGUUAUAUAAUUGUAAACAAAAUUUAAUCAAAAUACAUUGUAUUUUUAUACAUUUAUUUAUAAUUAAAAUUUGGUAUAACUCCAACACUCAGGUAUGAUCCAAUUCAAGGACAUUGCCAGGUGGGGAGUUCGACUGGGGCGGUACAUCUCUCAAAUAAUAACGG
rnacentral:rRNA from 1 species